GGUGAGAAAAAAGUUGUUGCAGAGGGACUUCUGCUCUGCCCCCCUGGGCCAGGUGACACACUUUCCUUGGUCAAGGUCUUCGUGACAUCCGCGUCAGUCCCGGACACACCCCUUAUUUUGCCGACCAUUUCUGGGGCGACUACCCUUCGCGAUGUCGUCGGCGAAGAUCCUAUUGAGUGGAGCUACAACGACCUCAUGCGCCGGGCUUGAAAUGUUGGUACCGAUACACCCAUGUUAAUUGCCCCGUUUGUCAUAUGGAUUGAAUGUCGAACCUGUCUUUGGAUGGAUUGUGUUGAGUUUUUGUUGAACUAUGUCUGGAAUUGAUGCGUAGACCU